rnacentral:rRNA from 1 species
AGCUCCAAUAGCGUAUAUUUAAGUUGUUGCAGUUAAAAAGCUCGUAGUUGGAUUUUGGGUCGGGGGUACCGGUCCGGUGUUUCACUGUGCACUGGUCUCCCCUUCCUUUCUGCCGGGGACGGCGUUUGCUCUUAAUUGGGCGGCGUCGGAGUCGGCGUUGUUACUUUGAAAAAAUUAGAGUGUUCAAAGCAAGCCAUCGCUCUGAAUACAUUAGCAUGGAAUAACAUGAUAGGACUCUGGUCUUAUUUUGUUGGUUUCCGAGACUGGAGUAAUGAUUAAGAGGGACAGUCGGGGGCAUCCGUAUUUCAUUGUCAGAGGUGAAAUUCUUGGAUUUAUGAAAGACGAACUUCUGCGAAAGCAUUUGCCAAGGAUGUUUUCAUUA